UUUAGUCAGUACUCAUAUUGGUGUUGGGAUAGGCUGUGAUAUUUAAGGCCUGUAUGAUACUUCCAUUGGGCCAGACCCAGUUCAGAGUGUCCUACUUCACAGAUGAGGAAACUGAAGCUCACAGAGGGUGAGCAGACUUGUCCAAAACCAAACAGGUAGUAAGUGGCGCAAAAUGAAAAGUCAGCGGGUUAGUUGCUCAGUCCUGUCUGACUCUCUGUGGCCCCAUGUACUGUAGAUCGCCAGGCUUCUCUGUACAUGGGAUUCUCCAGGCAAGAAAACUGGCAUGGGCAGCCACUCCCUUCUCCAGGGGAUCUUCCUGACCAGAGGAAGAUCCUGAAUCGAUCCUGCAUCCGACCCGAGUCUCCCGCAUCGUAGGCAGAUUCUUUACCAUCUGAGCCACCACGGAAGUCACUGGGCUUGAAAACCUGUCUCUAGAGUCUGAGCUUUCAGUUAAAACCAGGACGAGGUCAUUAACUGGUGGAGCCAACUGACAAAUGAAAAUCUGGGGUCCUUUGUUGAAAACGGAUGAAUUUCAGUGCAGCAACAACAGAGCACGGAAACAAGCUGAGGUUCAUCUGAGCGCAGGGCCCUGCCGGGCUGCACAGGCCACACACCCCCGGGGCUGGCCCGGGUCAACAGCCCGCUGCCUGUCACACAAAGGGCCCCGAGCCCCCCUGGAGCUGACUUGCAACUGGAGGAGGUGUUUGAAUUCUUUGGUUCUGGGUUUGUUGCUGCCACCGGAGAAUCUUCAAAAGCCCACCAUCAGCCCAAGGAACAGGAGGGUCCUUCUGUUACUGCUGCCUUACUCACACGGAG
rnacentral:lncRNA from 1 species